rnacentral:rRNA from 1 species
GAUGAACGCUGGCGGCGUGCCUAAUACAUGCAAGUCGAGCGAACGGACGAGAAGCUUGCUUCUCCGAUGUUAGCGGCGGACGGGUGAGUAACACGUGGAUAACCUACCUAUAAGACUGGGAUAACUUCGGGAAACCGGAGCUAAUACCGGAUAAUAUUUUGAACCGCAUGGUUCAAAAGUGAAAGACGGUCUUGCUGUCACUUAUAGAUGGAUCCGCGCUGCAUUAGCUAGUUGGUAAGGUAACGGCUUACCAAGGCAACGAUGCAUAGCCGACCUGAGAGGGUGAUCGGCCACACUGGAACUGAGACACGGUCCAGACUCCUACGGGAGGCAGCAGUAGGGAAUCUUCCGCAAUGGGCGAAAGCCUGACGGAGCAACGCCGCGUGAGUGAUGAAGGUCUUCGGAUCGUAAAACUCUGUUAUUAGGUAAGAACAUAUGUGUAAGUAACUGUGCACAUCUUGACGGUACCUAAUCAGAAAGCCACGGCUAACUACGUG